GAUGAAGAACGUAGCGAAAUGCGGUAAGUAAUGCGAAUUGCAGAAUUCAGUGAGUCAUCGAAUCUUUGAACGCACAUUGCGCCCUGUGGUAUUCCGCAGGGCAUGCCUGUUCGAGCGUCAUUUCAACCCUCAAGCCCCGCUUGGUGUUGGGCCCCGCCCGCUGUGGCCGGCCCUAAAGACAGUGGCGGCGCCGCCUGGCCCUCAGCGUAGUACAUCUCUCGCUCCAGGGUCCGGUGGCCGCCUGCCAGAACCCCCCAACUCUGUGGUUGACCUCGGAUCAGGUAUGGAUACCCGCUGAACUUAAGCAUAUCAAUAAGCGGAGGA
rnacentral:misc_RNA from 1 species